ensembl:scaRNA
GGCCUCUUCCCCAUUGGGCUGCUGGGGAUCCCACUGCUCCUCAGCCAGGGCUGAAGGCGGAGAUCAGCCCUGGAGCAUCUUUAGAGUUGCCACUAGAAGGCAGCCCUGUUUUCUUGCCUCAGACAGGU